AUUCCAAGUUACAACCAAACGCAUCACUAGAGAUGUCAGCCCAACCCGUGGCCCGCGGGUUCGACCCAUUUAGGCCCAUCACGGGGCGGGUCUGGACAAGUAAAAAGCUGUCCAUGAAUUAGCGGGUCUCGCGGGUUGAACCCAUGCGGUUUGCGGGUUGGUUGGGUGUAACCCGUCACGGGUUAGCGGGUUCGCGGGUUGACCGCAAUGAAAGUCUCGAUCCUUCGUCUUCUCUGUCUUCUUCGCGAUCAACUUCCAUGAAAUUCAUGUUUGAGCUACUGCAUGUCCUGGAGAGAGAAGGGAUACGAAAAGGUCAGUGAUUUCAAGCCUUCGAUGGAGAUUUUGCUCACUUCAUCACUUUGUAGGAGACAAAUUGUUACAAAGUAUCUGUUUUCUUUGAUUCCAUAUGUUGAAGGUGCGGUAUCAUCUCCUCACUGCUACUUCAAAGAAAACACCAUGAUGAACCCAAAUAGCAGCAACGUUGAAGCUUCUUUUCAGCCAAAACCACAAGAAUUUGUCACCGUUCCGCCAACUGCUUGGACUAAACCAAACAAACGUUGAGAUUCUGAACCACCCAAACCCUUUUUCCAGUCACAGCUCCCCAAUACAGAACAAUCAAGCAACAAAAACAACAUGGUCAUCAAUGCUAAGCUGUUGCAAGCACAAUUAAGCUGGGAGCUCAUCGCUAUUGAUUAAUCGUAGAUGAAGUGAAAGGGAAGAGUUUUCUCUGGAACAGAGGAUGUUGGUGCUGAAAAACGUCACAGAUACAAUGUAACCCGCGGGUUGACCCGCAAACAAGGUGAUUUUAGCGGGGUGGGCUUGGACAAGAGGAUUCAGGCCGCAACCCGCCGCGGACAAACCCGCACGGUCUGGUGACCGGAUGGACCCGCCGCGGGACUGUCCAUGUGGAUGCGGGUCAACCCGUCUGACAACUCUACGCAUCACCAUGUUUGUUCAUACAAAUUCGAUCUAAAAUGCGCUUAUCUUUUGAAUAAAAUUCAUCAACAUUCAGACCACAAA